UACGUAGGGCGCAAGCGUUGUCCGGAAUUACUGGGCGUAAAGGGCGCGUAGGCGGCCUGUUAAGUCGAACGUGAAAUCCCCGGGCUCAACCCGGGAACUGCGUCCGAUACUGGCAGGCUUGAAUUCGGGAGAGGGAUGCGGAAGUUCCAGGUGUAGCGGUGAAAUGCGUAGAUAUCUGGAGGAACACCGGUGGCGAAGGCGGCAUCCUGGACCGAGAUUGACGCUGAGGCGCGAAAGCCAGGG
rnacentral:rRNA from 1 species